rnacentral:rRNA from 1 species
CACCUCUAAGGAAGGCAGCAGGCGCGCAAAUUACCCAAUCCUGACUCAGGGAGGUAGUGACAAGAAAUAACAAUAAACCGGCUUAUGCCGGUUUAAUUGGAAUGAGUACAAUUUAAACAUCUUAACGAGGAACAAUUGGAGGGCAAGUCUGGUGCCAGCAGCCGCGGUAAUUCCAGCUCCAAUAGCGUAUACUAAAGUUGUUGCAGUUAAAAAGCUCGUAGUUGGAUUUCUGUGGGGACGGAGCGGCCGGCCGCACAUCGCGGUUCGAGCUAGCGCUUUCCCUACAUCCUGCCGCGAACCGUGCUACCAUUAGUUUGGUGGCGCCGGGGAUCGGCUCGAUUACUUUGAGAAAAAUAGAGUGUUCAAAGCAGGCCACAUGCCUUGAAUAAGUUAGCAUGGAAUAAUAACUAAGGACUUCGGUUCUAUUUUGUUGGUGUUCGGGACUGAAGUAAUGAUUGAUAGGGACAGUUGGGGCGGUCUGUAUUCCAAAGCGAGAGGUGAAAUCCUUAGACCUUCGGAAGACAAACAGCUGCGAAAGCGUUCCGCAAGGAUGUUCCCUUUGAUCAAGAACGAAAGUUGGGGGAUCGAAGACGAUCAGAUACCGUCGUAGUCUCAACUAUAAACUAUACCAGCUAGGGAUCGGCCAACGUUAUUUUAUACCGACUUGGUCGGCACCUUAUGAGAAAUCAAAGCAUCUGGGUUCCGGGGGGAGUAUGGUCGCAAGGCUGAAACUUAAAGGAAUUGACGGAAGGGCACCACCAGCCGUGGAGCCUGUGGCUUAAUUUGACUCAACACGGGAAAACUUACCAGGUCCAGACAUAGUAAGGAUUGACAGAUUGAUAGCUCUUUCUUGAUUCUGUGGGUGGUGGUGCAUGGCCGUUCUUAGUUGGUGGAGUGAUUUGUCUGGUUAAUUCCGUUAACGAACGAGACCCCAGCCUGUUAAAUAGCGCGCGUGAGCUUUGCUCGCGGCGAGCUUCUUAGAGGGACUAUGAUGCGCGAUAGCACAUGGAAGUUUGGGGCAAUAACAGGUCUGUGAUGCCCUUAGAUGUUCUGGGCCGCACACGGGCUACACUGGCGCCUGCAACGAGCAUAUCAGCUGGCCCGAGAGGGUCUUGGCUAAUCUUUUGAACCGGCGCCGUGCUUGGGAUUGACCUUUGCAAUUGUUGGUCAUGCAACGAGGAAUGCCUUGUAAACGCGAGUCAUCAGCUCGCAUUGAAUACGUCCCUGCCCUUUGUACACACCGCCCGUCGCUCCUACCGAUGAAUGUUCCGAUGAAAUUUUCGGAGAGCACCUGUGAACUUGGCUCUGCCUUGCGAACGGGAGGCUCAAAGUCACUUAAAUCUGAACAUUUCGAGG